UGCUCUCCCAUUUCUAGGGUGCUGCUCUCAUCUCUAGUCUAAAAUGGGGCACCACUCAGGUAUUUUAGGGAGCCACUGGGGAGAAAAAAGGAA
rnacentral:miRNA from 1 species